UUGAGUAAAACAGAGCCUCUCUUUUUUUGUAGUGUUUUAUAAUUCUAUAUUUUUUUGUUUUUUGUUUUUAUUUCUAGUUUUCUGAGAGUUUUUUUCAUAUAAAGGAUUGCCUAAGUUUUGAAUACGCUAUGAAGCUGUGUGAUCAGAUCGUUAAAGAGCUUAUUUUUAAGGCUUUGCGAUGUUAAGUUAUACUGUAUAUACAGAGAGAUUUUUAUUUCUUAAGAUGUUAAAUUCAUUUACACUAUGAAUUUGUAUACUUUUUUUUUCAAUCAAGUGUAGGAUUAUGAUGAUCAAAUUGAGGUUAUUUCAAAGUGACCCCAUUCUCUAUUUUACAUUUUAAUCUGCAAAACGUAAGUGAUCUUGGCAUCUUGCACAGAUUAGUUUGGUAUCAGAUUGAGUGUUUCAACGUACAACCAUAUCUCUCUCUCUCUCUCUCUCUCUCAUUUUGACUUUGAAUGGUUUAGUGCAGCUGGCAUUAGAUCUUGCUUUAUUACUGUAGCAGAAAGCAAUGGUAAAUAAGUCGAUAACACAAACUCUAUUCAACAUGCCUGGGUGACUUGGUCUCAUUUGGAGUCUCACAUUGAAUAUGAAACCUUUUUUUUUAAUGAGAAUGAAUAUGAAAAUUUUGUUUCCUCCAUUAAUAUGUUUUUCACCCAAUUCUUUUUCUUUCCCUGCUCCUUGUUCCCUAGAAUUAGUUUAAUCACAUAAUUGAUUAGUACAGGAACAAGCCAAUCAUAAUGAUAACAUCUUUAUUUCCAGUCAUUUUUUUCACGUAGUGCAAUGAAAUGGAUUAAGUUAUUGCUAAGAUCAUAUGAUAUUGAGACCAAUUUGGUUACUCUUUCAUUUGAGCCAUAUUUUCCAAUUUGAUUGAAUUUGUUCCAAAUGUAAUGCCAAUCAUAUCAAUGGAACUGUGUGAAUUUUAGUGCAGGCUGUGCAUCAUUUAAGAAAUGAUAAUGAAAAUAAUAAGAUAAAUUAAGAGAAUAUUUUAAGGCAUGCCAUGAAAUACAUGCGUCCAAAACUCUCCAAAUUAUUCAACCACUGAAAGUCAUGUCCUCGUCUAAUUUCAACGUUGCAAUCAGAUUACAUUUUAAUUUUUCAACGAAUAUUUUUGUUGCCUUGACCAUCUAAUAUAUUCAACAAAGAAAGGAGUAGGUUUGUAUAUAAAAUUGGUACGGGCUGCCACUUUUUGCAAAAUUUUGUGGUAGUUUAAGGGGACAAGUAACAUAUGCCCCAUCCAUGCCAUAAUGUGAUCACUCAUGGCCUGCAAUUGAAGAAUUGAACCACUCCACAGCCAAAUAAGAUGUACUCUACACUUUCCCAGGCCAUCCAACAAUUAAUUAAUAAUCAAUUAAUUAAUCCGGCCAAAUGAUAAAGUAUUAAGCCACUAAUUGGGCAAUACUAUUCAUAGAUGUUGUAUUCAUAUACCAAAAUGUCAGCAGAGGGAUAAGCCCAAAAAUGGCCAAAGUGAUAUGCUGAUGAAAUAUCCUUAUAAGGCUGACUUUUUGUGUGUAAAUAUGCAGGGUGGGUCCAAAUGCAUGCGUAUAGUGGAUUUGUUUAUCAUUCUCUCAAGCAAUGUCAGCUGGUCAAGGGUGGCAUGCCAUGCGAUCCAUGACUUCCUUUUCUACCAUUUUUGCUCUUUCAUAACCUUCGGUUCUAUGCCCUCUUUGCCUCUUAUCUUGUAAAUGGCUGUGAUGCAUAUCCACAAAGUUCCAUGAUAUAAUUAACCGAACUGGUGUUUGGUAUCUGUGCUUUUCUGCCAGUAUA